UUUUAUCAUUUGAUUUGUUUUUCUGUGUCUGUAUUUGUGUUUAUUUGAUUUGUGAUUGUAUUGUAAUUGUAUGUACAGCGCUUUGAGUGUCUCGUGGCUGAAAAGCGCUAUAUAAAUAAACUCACCUUACCUUACCUCUCCAGGGUGCGGUUAUCCCUAUUGCUUGUACACUGUAUUCCUACCACAGUUUUUCCUUCCCUUUGCCUCUCUAUUAAUGUGCUUGGACUCGGAGCUCUGUGAACAUCCAGCCUCUUUAGUAGUGAUGUCACCUCUAACACCGAGGCUUCAAACUCGACAGGGUACUUAUGGUGAAGCAGUGGGCCGGAGCUUGCUUCAUGUGACGUCACCGAUGACGUGUGAACCACUUCACUGCUUCAUUCAGACCGAGUCAGCUGACUGCUUCGAGUUGACUGGUGGAGUUUCAAACAUCUGGCGCGAUUCAGUGUAUUUAAGAUGCUCUCAAGUCCCGGUUCACAUCCCCGUUCUACACGUAUUAUACGUUACGAACAGAUCUCGUUUAUGGAUAUUCAGAGUUUUGGUGGAUUAUUCUGUCAUGGAGCAACCAUCUAGGAAGCGUUCCCAAGCGUGGGAAUAUUUCGAUUUGGUGCCACCUAAUAAUAAGGUGCAGUAUUUGCUUUGCCCGCAGCUGCUGACGUAUAAUAAUACUAAUACGUCAUCAAUGCUGAGGCAUUAUAGAGCCAAACACGUCGUGCCACCAGUCAAGGAUCCAGGAAGCAAGAGCUUGAUGAAGCUCUUGUGGACUUCAUAGUGAAGGUCUCCCAGCCUUUCUCUAAACCUAUACCACUCAGCCAAACAGUUCUUUGUCACACCAGCCUCCUCUGUUCCCUGUGAAAGAGUAUUUUCCGAAGCUGGAGAAAUUGUCUAAAUAAAAAAAGAAACCGUUUGAGCCCUUCUACUGUGCAGAAAU